UAUGCACACUGUUAGAGCUCAGAGCUGAGGUCAGUUAUUGGCUGAUGAACUCCUGAGUGUAGGAAGUGUGCUAUAUCAGUCUUGACAAGAUUUUUCGCUAACGCCAUAAGGAUUUUGUGGUCCAAUGAAUGGGGUUUGAUAGUGAUUCUUGCCACAUUU
rnacentral:snoRNA from 1 species